GCAAUGGACGAAAGUCUGACCGAGCAACGCCGCGUGAGUGAAGAAGGUUUUCGGAUCGUAAAGCUCUGUUGUAAGUCAAGAACGUGUGUGAGAGUGGAAAGUUCACACAGUGACGGUAGCUUACCAGAAAGGGACGGCUAACUACGUGCCAGCAGCCGCGGUAAUACGUAGGUCCCGAGCGUUGUCCGGAUUUAUUGGGCGUAAAGGGAGCGCAGGCGGUCAGGAAAGUCUGGAGUAAAAGGCUAUGGCUCAACCAUAGUGUGCUCUGGAAACUGUCUGACUUGAGUGCAGAAGGGGAGAGUGGAAUUCCAUGUGUAGCGGUGAAAUGCGUAGAUAUAUGGAGGAACACCAGUGGCGAAAGCGGCUCUCUGGUCUGUCACUGACGCUGAGGCUCGAAAGCGUGGGUAGCGAACAGGAUUAGAUACCCUGGUAGUCCACGCCGUAAACGAUGAGUGCUAG
rnacentral:rRNA from 1 species